CCUACGGGGGGCAGCAGUGGGGAAUAUUUCGCAAUGGGCGAAAGCCUGACGCAGCGACGCCGCGUGAGGGAUGAAGGUCUUCGGAUCGUAAACCUCUGUCAGCAGGGAAGAACAGUCACUGUGCUAAUCAGCAGUGAAUUGACGCUACCUGCAAAGGAAGCACCGGCUAACUCCGUGCCAGCAGCCGCGGUAAUACGGAGGGCGCGGGCGUUAAUCGGAAUUACUGGGCGUAAAGCGCUCGUAGGCGGUAUGUGAAGUCAAGGGUGAAAUCCCCGCGCUCAACGUGGGAACUGCCUUUGAAACUGGCAAACUGGAGUGUGGGAGAGGAUAGUGGAAUUCCAGGUGUAGGAGUGAAAUGCGUAGAUAUCGGGAGGAACAUCAGUGGCGAAGGCGAGUAUCUGGCACAUAACUGACGCUGAGGAGCGAAAGCGUGGGUAGCAAACAGGAUUAGAUACCCCUGUAGUC
rnacentral:rRNA from 1 species